CAGAACGAACGCUGGCUUCAUGCCUAACACAUGCAAGUCGAAAGCCCCGCAAGGGGUGAGUAGAGUGGCAAACUGGCCAGUAACACGUGGGUGACCUGCCUUCGAGUGGGGGAUAACGUCCCGAAAGGGUCGCUAAUACCGCAUGACAUCCUGCUUUUUAAGAGGUGGAGAUCAAAGCUGGGGAUCGCAAGACCUAGCGCUUGAAGAGGGGCCCGCGCCUGAUUAGCUAGUUGGUGGGGUAAUGGCUCACCAAGGCAACGAUCAGUAUCCGGCCUGAGAGGGCGGACGGACACACUGGGACUGAGACACGGCCCAGACUCCUACGGGAGGCAGCAGUGGG
rnacentral:rRNA from 1 species